UAUGUUGACUCAAGCGUGAGUAUGACUAGUCUCAAGUCAUUUAGUGUUGGACCCUAAAUCAAACACAUAGGUGCUCGAAAGAGUGAUCGAGUACACUGAACAACGAUCAAAAGAGAGUUCGAACGUACAUGUCAUGUAAGAACUCGAUAGUUGCAAUAUGCAAAGUAGUCCUUUGACCUGAGGUAUCAUAGAUGUCUAAUGGUUAGGUCCUUGAUCUUUGAUCAUGUCAAAGGCAUUCCAUUGAGAGUGUCCACGGCAUUGUUGGGGUCAAGCUAUCUAGUCAUGUAGGCAUAUGAAUGCGCAACAAGGGAUCUCUAACCUUCCAUGGUGGAAGGAGAAUAUUCUAAGAUAUGAUUCGAGAGUCUUUGGCCAAAGCAUAUGAAUAUGACUUAGGAAGUUUGUUCCAAAUCAUAUUCAACAGAAUCAUAUGGAGAAGUAUCACAUUGGAUAGUAGACAUGAAACAAACUAUCACUCAAACAAUGUGAUUAAGAGUAUUGUAUUAGAGAAGGACCGUAUUGCAUUGUAGUUGUAACUGGAUAGGUUCUCCAACCACUUAUACUUAGCUUGGGUAACCAUGACAUGCUGCUAGGUGUCACUCAUGGUUUGCGGAAGCCUUGAAGAUUAGCAAACACUAAUUAAAGGGAGAAUUGAAAUAGUUUCAAUUCACAAUCGAUCGUUAAGAGUAACAAUCGCCCAUUACCUCGUUAAUUGGAACCUAAUGGAUCGUACACCGAGAAAGGAUUAAAGUGAAGAAAUAAAUGAGAUGGAUAUGCAAUUAAAUUGUUUAAUUGAAAAAUGGUCAAGAUUAAUUAAUUAGUUAAUUAAUUAUACAAAAUGUUCGUAUUAGGCUUUUAAGUUAGUUUUGGGCUUCGGGGCCCAACAGCGUUUUGGUCCACAAGGCCCAUUAUGUUUAAGUUGUAUGACAACUAAAACAAAAUGGGCAAAUUAGCCCAAUAACAAGGUAAGGCCGGCCAUAGGGUAAGGGGAUGCAAACUUGGAUUAAUUACAAGUUUGCCACUCACUUGUGGUGAAGUAUAAAAACAACUUUAUAGCUUUAUGUUCAUUAGGGUUUUCUUGAUGGAAAGGAAGUGAAACAUUUUCUCUCCUUUUAUCUAUAGAGGCCGGCCACUUAGAGGAAUUUUAGCUAGCAAUUUAAUCUUCUCUAAGUCAUCCAUUUCAUCUUCACACUACAUCCUUAGUGUGGAGACUUAGAGACAUCAAGCUUUUGGUGUUUUGGAGAUUCUAUCCUCAAAUCCUCAAAGGAAGAUCCAAGGAGCAAGGAGGUGACUUGAAGGCCCUCCACUUGGGUGAAUCCCUUGUGUAAUCAAGGAUGAGCUUCAAGGGUAAAGAAUCUCUAAAUCUUUUCUUCUCUUUAAGUUUGUUAAAGAGUUUAUUGGUUCACCAUAUACUAGGCUUUGAAAGUCAUGGGUUUUAUGAAUUGUUUUUUAAUGCAUGCCUACUUUAAUGUGUUAAUAGUUUGCAUAUGUAUUCAAAUGUUCUUACUUGUUCUUAGCUAGGACAAAAUUCUUCCAUAUACAAGAAGGCUAGAGGCAGUGUGUUCUCUAGCCUAUUUUCUGUGUUUGCCCUCUCUAAGAUGUUUUCUCUCUUCCCAUGGCCUAAACUUUGACCUCUCAUAAUGAAGAGAGUAAGGAGUCCUUUUAUAGAUUGAGGGAAUAAGGGCUCCUCACUUAUUACAUAUUUGCCCCUUCAUUUAUUACAUAAUUACAUUUGAGUCUCCUGAGUAUUUAUACGAGGUCUAUAUACGGUGGCCCUAAAUAUGGUACAAACAGUAGUCCCCCAAGUCUUCCGUCAAGAGAGUCUUUUGCCUAGAGACUUGAAAUUCAGUCUAUGUGUGGGCCAAAGUAACUAGAUGUCGUCUAGAACUGAUUCUCGAUAUGAAGCGGUGCUCAAUGUGAAAUGAUGCUCAACUAGAAGUAGCACAUGUUGCGAGGCUGUUCGGCUUGUGGCGUUAAAGGUGAGGUAGUCCCUUUUAUAGAAUAAGGGCUCGCUCUUUAAUACAUAAAUGAUGGGCUAGAGUUGAUGCUCGCGGCGAGGCGGUUGCUCAAUAGGCGGCGAUGCUCUCUGAUGAUGGUGAAGGAGUCCCUUUUAUAGAAUAAAGGCUCGCUCCUUAAUACAUAAGUGAUGGGUUAGGAGUGAUGCUCGCGGUGAUGCGGUUGCUUAGUAGGCGGCGAUGCUCUCUAAUGAUGGUGAGGGAGUCCCUUUUAUAGAAUAAGGGCUCGCUCGUUCCUCAACACAUAAGUGAUGGGCUAGAAGUCUUUCUUUAAUGAAGGUGAGGGAGUCCCUUUUAUAAAAUAAGGGUUCGCUCCUCAAUACAUGAAUAUGGGUGCUCUCUAAUGAAGGUGAGGGAGUCCCUUUUAUAAAAUAAGGGUUUGCUCCUCAAUACAUGAAUAAUGGAUGCUCUCUAAUGAAAGUGAGAGAGUCCCUUUUAUAGAAUAAGGGUUCGCUCCUCAGUACAUAAAUAAUGGGCUAAGUCCCCCAAGUAUUUUUCAUGAAGCCCAGUUGCAGAAGCCCAAUAAAUGGUACAUAGUGUAGUCCCCCAAGUCUUCAGUCAAUAGAGUUUGUUGGCUGGAGACUUCAAAUUCAAUCCAUGUAUGGGCCGAAGUGGCGGUUGUUCGGAUACGGUCUUUGUAUACCAUACACUGAAGCUUUGUAGGUGAAGCUUUGAAGCUUGAGCUUUUGUAAUUGAAGCUUUCGAAGCUGGAGCUUUGUAAAUGAAGCUUUUGAAGCUGGAGCUCUAUAAAUGAAGCUUUCGAAACUAGAGCUCUGUAAAUGAAGCUUUCGAAGCUGAUUGACAUGAGUGAUGCUCAUGAUGUUGGAAAUGUGCCCUAAAGCCAAUCAUGUGAUGAUACUUUACGGACAUUUCACAUGUUAAACUAAUCUAGU
rnacentral:lncRNA from 1 species